rnacentral:lncRNA from 1 species
GAAGGGAGAGUGGGAAAAAGGAUGGGGAGGGCCUCCAGGGCCGGGAAUUAGAGCUACAUUUCCUUGAACAUCAAUUCUGUGUUUCAGACUUUCAACUCAGAUACUCGUUUCCCCUGUUCGAUCCUCCAAGAAUGUCCACAGGGCAAGUUUUAUUCCCAAAGUUCAGCUGAGCAGGCUCACCCCUGCCUGGACUUACGGGGGAACUUCCUUUUUGUGUUUGUGCCAACCUUAGUGGGGACUGGGUUUGGGAGCCACAGUCUGGAAGCCCUCGGCAGAUGAUAACUGAAAUGUUAGCCCUGUAAUCCCAGCAAGAGGGAGAAAGUUGAGCUUUGUGCAGUCCAGAAAAAGGUGGGCCUCAUGGGCCUGCCCAUGAGGUUCACUUGGGCCUGCCAAUGGGCUGCUGGGGCCCAGAGAUGCUCCAAAGCCCUGGGACACCUCAGUUAUGUUCACUUCAGCAGCGAACCCCGUGUGACUGUAUCCAAGGCUAGCAAUGUGUAAAACCUUCAGCGCAAGGAAAAGAGAAAAUGAUGAGCCCUGUUGACUCAGCCGGGAAGGCUGACUGGGCUCAGUUCACCCUUCCUCAGCAGGUCCAGGGGAUCUGUGUGGGUUCAGCCUGGCUGCACCUACCUGGGCAGCUCUGCUCCUCAAGAUCCCCAGGAUCCCACAGGGGCUGGCUGAGCAUGCAGGGAGGAUCUUUAAGACUCAAUUCUAACCAUCCCAUGCUUUAAAGUCUUCUAGGACUCUCAUGAUCAUCAGGACACGGCUGUUCCCCUCAGAGUGUCUGCAGGCCCUUUCCUGAUGGCUCCAGACCCUCAGGCAGGACUUGGGGUAGUACAGGGUGGGCCUUACUGCCUCUGCUCUUGUUCUCCCCUGGGAUGCACUUUUCUCCUGUGUCUGCCUGGGAACAUUUACGCCAGCUUGGAAACCAGCUCAAAAAUCACCUCCUCCAAAGUCCUCAGACAAAGAGGGAUAGAAGAGAAAAACAUGGCUAUUAAAGUGUUCAGAUGGAUGGUGUUUAUCAGUCUACUACACAACGUAAGUACUAGUGCUGUGCCAGGUCCCAUGCUCGAUGCUCCAGGAUGGUGCUUCACCACCUAUGAUCAAGGCCCAGCCACUGCCAUUCCCAAUUCUUGCAGACUGAUGCAUGGCCCUAUGCUCAUGGCUUGUGUAUCAUCUGUACAACAUGGGACAUUCCUCAGUGCAGGAAUUCAACAGUACUCAGUCUGGUCUAGAUCCUAUUCAACCAAGCGAGCCCAGGAUACAAGCUUGGAUGUAGGAUGUCACAACAGUGGCACACUGCAGGAAAAUUCCUAA